rnacentral:rRNA from 1 species
GAUGAACGCUGGCGGCGUGCCUAAUACAUGCAAGUCGAGCGAACAGACGAGGAGCUUGCUCCUCUGACGUUAGCGGCGGACGGGUGAGUAACACGUGGAUAACCUACCUAUAAGACUGGGAUAACUUCGGGAAACCGGAGCUAAUACCGGAUAAUAUAUUGAACCGCAUGGUUCAAUAGUGAAAGACGGUUUUGCUGUCACUUAUAGAUGGAUCCGCGCCGCAUUAGCUAGUUGGUAAGGUAACGGCUUACCAAGGCAACGAUGCGUAGCCGACCUGAGCGGGUGAUCGGCCACACGGGAACUGAGACACGGUCCAGACUCCUACGGGAGGCAGCAGUAGGGAAUCUUCCGCAAUGGGCGAAAGCCUGACGGAGCAACGCCGCGUGAGUGAUGAAGGUCUUCGGAUCGUAAAACUCUGUUAUUAGGGAAGAACAAAUGUGUAAGUAACUAUGCACGUCUUGACGGUACCUAAUCAGAAAGCCACGGCUAACUACGUG